CCUACGGGUGGCAGCAGUAGGGAAUCUUUCACAAUGGGCGAAAGCCUGAUGGAGCAAAGCCGCGUGCAGGAUGAAGGCCCUCGGGUUGUAAACUGCUUUUAUAAGCGAGAAAUAUGAUGGUAACUUAUGAAUAAGGAUGGGCUAACUACGUGCCAGCAGCCGCGGUCAUACGUAGGAUCCGAGCAUUAUCCGGAGUGACUGGGGGUAAAGAGUGGCGUAGGUGGCAUAAUAAGUAGCUAGUGAAAUCUGGUGGUUCAACCACUCAUACUAUUAGGUAAACUGUUAAGCUCGAGACCGUUAGGAGUAACUGGAAUGUGUAGUGUAGGAGUGAAAUCCGUAGAUAUUAGAAGGAACACCAAUAGCGUAGGCAGGUUACUGGGACGGUUCUGACACUAAGGCACGAAAGCGUAGGGAGCAAACGGGAUUAGAUACCCGAGUAGUC
rnacentral:rRNA from 1 species